AGUGCAUCGGGUAAGACCGAUGCUUUUCUUGACUCUUCAAAGGUCUUGGAAUAAGGGGUGGGUAAGGACGGUGCCAGCCGCCGCGGUAAUACCGGCGCCUCAAGUGGUAGUCGCUUUUAUUGGGCCUAAAACGUCCGUAGCCGGUUUGGUACAUUCGUGGGUAAAUCAAGGCGCUCAACGUCUUGAAUUCUGCGAGCACGGCCAGACUUGGGACCGGGUGAGGUGUGGGGUACUCUCAGGGUAGGGGUAAAAUCCUGUCAUCCUGAGAGGACCACCUGUUGCGAAGGCGCCACACUAGAACGGAUCCGACGGUCAGGGACGAAGCCUAGGGGCACGAACCGGAUUAAAUACCCGGGUAGUCCUAGGUGUAAACGCUGUGGACUUGAUGUUGGGAGUGCUCCGAGCACCCUCAGUGUCGAAGCGAAGGUGAUAAGUCCACUGCCUGGGGAGUACGGUCGCAAGGCUGAAACUUAAAGGAA
rnacentral:rRNA from 1 species